CCCUCACACUACCCUAGCAGAUUUGGACUGGAUCCUGCCCGAAGCAAGCUUCUUUUGACUUCACCCGCGCUUGUUGCUGGGAAAACCUAGGUGUUUCACACCAGGUGGAAACCUGAGAACCUGCUAACGCCCAGUGUUUCUAAGGUUAAGACCUCAAGAGCCAUAUUUUCAAGUUUUUCUGGCAACCUAUUAAUUUAUUAAUGAAAACUGAGAUUCCCACAGUCACAUGAACCCAGGCUUCAGAAAAACACUGAAUGAUUUGUAAAGUAAAUAGAGGAUACCCAAAUGCUUUCCUACUGGCGAUACUCUACACAGACAGACUGACCAGCCUGAUAAUCUCCAUG